rnacentral:lncRNA from 1 species
UGGUGGUGGAGAAUUUUUUGAUGAUGGUUACAAUAGGAGGGUCAAUUUAGUAAAUGUUUGGGUCAAUUUAACAAUUUCCUAUAAAUAUACAUAUGUAUAUUUAUAUCUAUGUUGUGUUUGUUAUGUAUAAAAUUUCUAUUUUUUAAUCUUUUUAAUCUUUUUAAUCUUUUAGAUUAUUUUCUGCACUUUCAAGCCUUUUAUAUUAUUAAAACUCGGGAUUUGUUAAAAUGACUGAAAUAAAAUGAAACAGGUACCUUUUCUAUUUUCAUUGCCAAGAACAAUCAUUCAGAAAGUGAUCGUUGAAUGUGUAAACUCUUGCUUCUGUUUCUAUUUCAUGUACAAGAUUUCAAGUUCUUUUUAGUGUUGAAAAUGAGCUUAUUUACUCCUUGAAAACAACUGUUUAUUAUAAUAAUAAAAAAAAAAAAAAAAAAAAAAACACACGUUUUGUGCAAGUUUCAUCAAGAGGGUUUUAUUUUUUUAUUUUCUUCAUUGCAGAUGUUGAAAUCGUGAAAUUUUAUCUAAAAUUCAUUAAAAAUUUACUUUUGCAAUAUUUUUUCGUAGAAAAAUUGUAAUUUUUUUUUGUAUAGGAACCUUAGAUUCAAAUAUACAUGUAAAGAUUCGUUUAGCUUAGAUAAAAACAUUUGAUUAACAUAUUGUAUCAAGAUUAUGAAGAAUUUUUAUGUUGUUUGUAAAGGAUGAAAUAUUAUUAUUGUUCAGAUAUGAGAUUCACAAAACAAGAGAGAAGAAAGCUUACAAAUUGCAUUAUAUGGUCAUAAUUGGUGGUUUUGCUUGUAUUUAGAAAGAAAACUCUUCAAUUAAUCAAAAUAUCGUGACAUGCUCCUUAUGCAUUUAAAUUGUUAUUGAAAAUUCCAUCAAAAUAACAUUGAUUUUAUUUACUCUUAUUCUUGUACAAACAUCAAUAUAUUCUCUUCUAAGAAAAUUAUGUUGGUUUGUUCAAACUUUGUUUUCUUUAAAUCUAGAAUAUUUGAUUGUGAAUAUAAUUUAGAAUGGUUAAUCUUAAGAAUUUCAACCAAAUCUCUUGCAAAUAUAAUUGAACGGUUGAACUUCAAAUUCAAUAUUUUCUUCUACAACUUCACAAAUUUAAAACCCAAAGAAAUUAUUUUGUUUCAACUUCACAUAUUUUUUGAAGUUGUUUGCCACCUUGGGUUUCACAUGGCAUUAUACAAUAGGUUUUUGAAUUUUGAAUAUAUCAUUCAGUCAUUCUAUUAAUCUAUCCUAUUGUAGUAGUAGGCCAGCAGUUUUAUAGAAGAUAAGUGCAAAUAUGCUUUUUUGAAUGGAAAUGAAUAAUGAAAUUAAUUAUAUAUUAGUUUAUUAUGCAACUUAAACAGAAAUAUAUAAUUAAAUUUUAUUUUAAUACUUUCAAUAAAAUUGUAUCUUGGCUUGA